GUUUGCUGGACAAACACAUCUAAUGGGCCGUUCCUCUCCUUAGCAGUCACGCUUUCUGACGCAACGUGAAAUAGGCGUACAGGAAAGAGUCUGCACCUGCUAAGACGGUGUGGUUCAGUCAGACUGGGCAAAACUUUGGACACAUACUGUGUGAUUCCGGGUCCUCGUGACUAAGGGGCGCCUUUCCUCCCUCCGGGGGAUCUCAUCACGCAAUGAUCCGGACAGAUCACUGAGGCGCACGGAUAAAGGAAGACCGCUCUCUAAUGUGCGUGCUUCAUGAACACACGUGUCCUGAUUUUAAGAUGUAUGGAUAAAAGCAGCCCGUAAGGUGAAACGCUGCCUGAAAUAGAUCCGCUGAGGGAUGAGAAUAGGCGACGGACAGCGAAUGAAAAUUGCAG